GGGCUUGUGGUUUAGUGGUAUAAUACUCCCUUAGCAUCUUCGCAUCUCCUGCGAUGAAACUUGGGAGUGGUCCGGGGUUCGAUUCCCCGCGAGUCCA